CACAAGUUAAUGGAGACUUAAUGGAGCUGUUAAUAGGGAUCCUUUUCGGUAACGUAUAAUCAAAUAAAAAUUGAUUAGCAGAAAUUAUGGUGCCGGUCAUGGGAGAAUUGAUUGUGUAACAUAUGAAAAUUGAAGGGAGAAGCAGUCGAGGUGAAAGGAAAUGAAAGAGAGUCAAUGGUUAACCUUGCAUGAUGCGCGACCUUACUCUUCAGAACCUUAGGUACAAUACCGAAUUAUUGUCAAAGCCAGUGCAACUCGAAUUUUGGCUACCACCAAGUGGUAAUACUUGGGCUGCAACAAGUGCGCAC